rnacentral:rRNA from 1 species
AGUCGAACGGUGAAAGAGAGCUUGCUCUCUGGAUCAGUGGCGAACGGGUGAGUAACACGUGAGCAACCUGCCCCGGACUCUGGGAUAACAGCUGGAAACAGCUGCUAAUACCGGAUACGAGCUGCGAAGGCAUCUUCAGCAGCUGGAAAGAAUUUCGGUCCGGGAUGGGCUCGCGGCCUAUCAGCUAGUUGGUGAGGUAAUGGCUCACCAAGGCGUCGACGGGUAGCCGGCCUGAGAGGGUGACCGGCCACACUGGGACUGAGACACGGCCCAGACUCCUACGGGAGGCAGCAGUGGGGAAUAUUGCACAAUGGGCGAAAGCCUGAUGCAGCAACGCCGCGUGAGGGAUGACGGCCUUCGGGUUGUAAACCUCUUUUAGCAGGGAAGAAGCGAAAGUGACGGUACCUGCAGAAAAAGCGCCGGCUAACUACGUGCCAGCAGCCGCGGUAAUACGUAGGGCGCAAGCGUUAUCCGGAAUUAUUGGGCGUAAAGAGCUCGUAGGCGGUUUGUCGCGUCUGCUGUGAAAACCCGAGGCUCAACCUCGGGCCUGCAGUGGGUACGGGCAGACUAGAGUGCGGUAGGGGAGAUUGGAAUUCCUGGUGUAGCGGUGGAAUGCGCAGAUAUCAGGAGGAACACCGAUGGCGAAGGCAGAUCUCUGGGCCGUAACUGACGCUGAGGAGCGAAAGGGUGGGGAGCAAACAGGCUUAGAUACCCUGGUAGUCCACCCCGUAAACGUUGGGAACUAGUUGUGGGGUCCAUUCCACGGAUUCCGUGACGCAGCUAACGCAUUAAGUUCCCCGCC